UGGGGAAUUUUGGACAAUGGGGGCAACCCUGAUCCAGCCAUUCCGCGUGAGUGAAGAAGGCCUUCGGGUUGUAAAGCUCUUUUGUCCGGAACGAAACGGUUACAGCGAAUACCUGUGACUACUGACGGUACCGGAAGAAUAAGCACCGGCUAACUACGUGCCAGCAGCCGCGGUAAUACGAAGGGGGCUAGCGUUACUCGGAAUGACUGGGCGUAAAGGGCGCGUAGGCGGUUUGCUUAGUUAGGCGUGAAAUUCCUGGGCUCAACCUGGGGGCUGCGCUUAAUACAGGCAGACUGGAGUGUGAAAGAGGGUCGUGGAAUUUCCAGUGUAGAGGUGAAAUUCGUAGAUAUUGGAAAGAACACCGGUGGCGAAGGCGGCGACCUGGUUCAUUACUGACGCUGAGGCGCGAAAGCGUGGGGAGCAAAC
rnacentral:rRNA from 1 species